AGUGGAUCGUGGCCAGGUAUGAAGAGGAAAUGGAUCUCAAUUUUGGACAAGAGAAUACAAAAAGAGCCAUUGCAGAGUGCCAAUCGAGUACAAGGUCAGAGACCAACCAAUCCCAAAGGGGUUGAUGGAAAUUUUGAGCCAUGACAAAAGGACUUGAACCUAGUGUGAGACUCAAGGUUGCGACACUUGACAUACGUUAAGAUGUAGACCUUCCUUGUAUCCACAUUCUUCAUGAAAAUAAUUACAAACAGAAACUGAAUUCUUUGGAGAGGACACCAUGAAGAUGCCUCCACAGACCACAAGCUGCAAGAGAAGAUCAAGAAUGAACUUUGGGUGCCAUUGAUUGAACAUUUAUUUGCAUGUAUACUUUCAUGCCAAAGGGGACUGCCCCCUAACUGGCUUUUUAUCAAUGCAUCUAGCAAUUAUUGGUCUUGUCCUCUUUUCCUCUUAUCCUCACAUUAUUGUAAUUUCAAAGUUGGUAUGUUUAUAAGACCCAGUGGAGCCUCAUGGGGGAAAUGUAAAAUGGAGAUUUGAUCCCUAGACUUCAAUCCCCAGAAGUCCUUGAUAUUUCCCUGAAUUCCCUACAAUCUCACCUGAGUCUCCACCUGGGCGAGAUCACAAUGAGUAUUUACUGGCUCUCUGCCUCCCAUGUGCUCUUCUCCUUACUGCUUUUGCAAGAUGUAGUAAGUAAGCUUUGAAUGGGCUUAUCAGCCCUAGGUACGUGGUUUUCUUAUUUUUUAUUUUCUUUUUUCCUUGAUUUCUAAUAAUCUUUAAUAAACCUCUUAAA